rnacentral:rRNA from 1 species
GAAUUCGCCCUUGGGGAAUUUUCCGCAAUGGGCGAAAGCCUGACGGAGCAACGCCGCGUGGGGGAGGAAGGUCUUUGGAUUGUAAACCUCUUUUCUCAAGGAAGAAGUUCUGACGGUACUUGAGGAAUCAGCCUCGGCUAACUCCGUGCCAGCAGCCGCGGUAAUACGGGGGAGGCAAGCGUUAUCCGGAAUUAUUGGGCGUAAAGCGUCCGCAGGUGGUCAGCCAAGUCUGCCGUCAAAUCAGGUUGCUUAACGACCUAAAGGCGGUGGAAACUGGCAGACUAGAGAGCAGUAGGGGUAGCAGGAAUUCCCAGUGUAGCGGUGAAAUGCGUAGAGAUUGGGAAGAACAUCGGUGGCGAAAGCGUGCUACUGGGCUGUAUCUGACACUCAGGGACGAAAGCUAGGGGAGCGAAAGGGAUUAGAUACCCCUGUAGUCCUAGCCGUAAACGAUGGAUACUAGGCGUGGCUUGUAUCGACCCGAGCCGUGCCGAAGCUAACGCGUUAAGUAUCCCGCCUGGGGAGUACGCACGCAAGUGUGAAACUCAAAGGAAUUGACGGGGGCCCGCACAAGCGGUGGAGUAUGUGGUUUAAUUCGAUGCAACGCGAAGAACCUUACCAAGACUUGACAUGUCACGAAUCCUAUUGAAAGAUGGGAGUGCCUUCGGGAGCGUGAA